GGGCGGUUAGCUCAGCGGUAGAGCACUAUCUUGACAUGGUAGGGGUCACAGGUUCGAACCCUGUACCGCCCACCA
rnacentral:tRNA from 1 species